CGGGGCAUAGCGCAGCCUGGUAGCGCACCAGCAUGGGGUGCUGGGGGUCGAAGGUUCAAAUCCUUCUGUCCCGACCA
rnacentral:tRNA from 1 species